rnacentral:lncRNA from 1 species
UAAGAGUGAGUCAGUCGCUGUGGCAGGCACUAGUCAAAUAGGGGAAGUCAUAUGCUCGGGAGAGGGACAAAGGAAAGCGGGAGAGCAAGCCUUGCUCUUUCAGUUGCCGUUGAAGAAGAAGGCAAAAACAAAGGCGCCAUAAGACAGGUCCGAAGGACUAUCCAUUAGGGGAUGAGAGGCCUAUCCAUUAGAGAAUUUGACUUGCGACGUCCGCUUUAAGAGCCUAGAGGUCAUUCUUAGGGGUGCUUUCGUGGAAUCAUUUCAGAGAAAAAUCACUGUCUUUCUCUUUCUCACAAAGGACCGGAGAAGGGCCUGACCUCGAUCCGACCCGAAUGAGUUACCGGUGGAGUUCAGAGGCCCGUGCCCAAGUGAAAGUGAAGAUCAAGCCGCCUAUGGGCGGUUGUCCGUCUACAUAAGAGGAAGGAGGAUCCCUCGUCAAUUCUAACCACCAGAGGUUUGACUCGGUACACCAAUGGUUGGUUGGGACCUUUGAUCAGCUUGUCUACUUUCUUCCCCCAACUCUCACUCAUCUUCAGCCAAUUUCCCCAUUAACCCAAACCUCAAAUUCCGCCAUUUCUUAGGCAAAAUUCAGAAAAUGCAAGGUUUUGGGCCUCCUUUUGUUUUGAGCAUCUUUAUCCCCUUUAUACAAUAAGGCUCUCAUCUCACUUUUCAUUCAAAGGAGGUGGUUUUUCAGUCAAAAAACGACUAUUAGCAUAAGAAAGGAUAAGUCUCAUAUUUAGCUCAAAUCGUAGAAAAUGCAACCCACUACGCGGGAAUAAUCACAAGAAGAAGAAGACAGAAAAGGGAAGAAAGAGGUCCUUAUCUAAUGGGGAUCGUUGGAGUGGAAUAAGGAGCACAUGGUAUUGCUCUCAUUACAGCAAGAGAGAUAGCUGCCUCAGCAGCAACCAAGCUGAUCAAUACAAUAUUGUUAAUAAACAAGAACUUAUCCAGCUGAAAGAGAAAGGGGUGCCUACUCAUUCAUUGACUUUUGCCUCUUUUCCUUACUCACCGCGUAGUGGGGGUCCCCUUGUUCAUUGAGGCGGGGUGUGUCCUGUACGAGCAGCCGAUGCCUCAUCAAGCUUCUUCGACCCUUUCCUUUGUCCUCAGACUGAUCUGGUGGGCGCCUACCCUACCUUUCAGCCUCUUCCCAUCCCGUCCGAAGGACCUCCCAUAAAGAAGAGAAAGGUCCAGGCGCAAUAAGACAGGUCCGAAGGACUAUCCAUAUUAACCUGGCACCUGUGAAAAGAAAAGAAAAGAAGCUCAUUAACUCGAAUUCAAGAAUCAUUCUGAUUUCAUAACUCGAAUUCAAGAAGAAUUAUGAAUCUGCUAGAUUGAAGAGCUAGAUUUCAGAUGAAUCCGCGGAGGGAAAUGCUAGGUUUUGCCCAUAGGGAAGUAGCAAGAAAUCAUGAAAAUUCCUUCUUUUUCACUCAAUUAUCGUAGAAUAUCAAGAUGAGAUUUAGUCCUAUUUAGAAGCAAAAAAGCCGGGAAAUUGCAACUGGUCCAUUAGAAAAAUCUAGGGAAAAUCAAUGAAGACUUCUAGUUUGAGUUUCUGGUCCGGAUACUGACGGGUCUAUUCUGGAAUUCACUCCGUCUGCAAUCUCAAAAUCAAUGAAGGAGUACAAUGAACAUCAUAAUGAUUCUUUCAUUCGAGUUAAUGAGCCCGUAGUUAACCGGUCCUACGUCCAUUUAUCCUCCGGACUAUCCGUAAUUAACCGAAGGAGGACUUUCCGUAAUUAACCGAACUUUGAACCUGGGGGAGCGGUAAUGAAAGAAGACGCUGGUAUGAUGUCCAACCGAACCCAAGAAUGCUCAAGACGGAAGAUAAAGUCAAUGAACAAGGGCUCGACAGGAGGAACCCAUGAAAUGCGAGAGACUUUUCCCACCCAGUAGAAAGUGGGAGUUCCGGGAUUUUCUUGUCAGUUCGUCCUUUAGAUUAUAGAUCAGUCAUGCUUCGCUUUUGACUGCUAUGUCCCAAGUAAUCUUAUCGAAAAGCAUUGAAUGAGCACUUGAACCUCGUCUGUCCCCCAGGAAUGAAGACAUUGAUUCCGGUACAAAGGCCUACUGAGAGGCAUUGCCUAUAGCACUGGCAGGCACAAGACCUUAGUGAAUGCACACUUUUCAUAGAAUAUCACAUUCUGAGAAAUCAGGACUAAGAUUGUUCAAAGGUUGGAGUAAGCGUCUUGACAUCAUCUCAUCUACUCUUUCUUUGAACUUGGAGGGACCGAAGAGCUUUACCAUCCCGGAGGAGGAGCAAGGAAUUUGAUGUUUCUAUCCAUUUCCUCAACUAAGUAGAAAAACGGGGAAAGUAGUUUCAAGAGAAAAAAAAAAGAGAAAGAUUCAAAGGUGCCACUUAAUAGAAAGUCGAGCCACUAUUAAUCCUUAAACUGCUACAGCCACGGCUUUCCCUUUUGUGUGAAACUUCCCUUUAAGCCCUUUCCUCAACAGCACUUGUCACAAUGAAAAGAUUUAGAAUAAGCAAAGCCUAUCCUCCUCCAAGAUAAGGAUGCCUUGGCUUCGUUCCGCUCUCAAAUGCAAUCUUUCUCCCACCCAACCGCCUCAAUGAACAAGGGCUUCCGGACGGACGAGGAUUGAUGGAUCCCCGUAUUGAAAGGUAAAGAAAGAGACCGAGGCCUACCCUACUGGAAAGCGUAUUGAAGUUACCCAAUAUGACUGCCUUUGCUCGCGGGUAAAGAAAAAGAGUUCGAGACUUGGCAUCUUAAUGGAAAGGAUUGAGAAAGGCAUGAAAGGCACCGGCGCUCCUCAAGGUCAGGGUCGUCAGACCUCCCUCUCUUAGUCUCGCAGUUCCCCACGUAGCGGUCCGUCCUACUCGUGGUAGAAUAUGAGCGGAUUUCUACCAGCGAGAACAGAGCAGAUUUUCCCGAUUCAAUGAGUAGAAGGGAAGGAAGCUCAUCCGGGUACGAUCUCAGGGAAGAGGUUCAGUGUGCCCAGCAGAAAGAACUCGCGCUAUUAGCACCCGACUGGGAUUAUCUCGUGAAGCUCUAAGGAGUGGCUUCGCUGACCUCUGGGACGGAUGCCUUUCUCAAUCUUCUUUUCACCUCCCUCACUCAUUUCGUACUCAUUCAAUCUCUGUCUGUCUAUUCUCUCUCUCUCUCGACUUCGUAAACCUAGAAACUCUCACUCCUUCGCACAAACUCAUAAUCGGAUAUUCAGAUGCGAAGCGAUUCCCGCGAAAGUGCGAUUCAUUAUUUCAUAAAAAGAUAUUAAGAAGAUGAAAUUCUAAAGCUCUGAUAUUCAGGUUAAUAUGUCCUUAUCAUAUCAAUGAGACCAGUCCGGAGGACCUACGGAGCAAAGUUCAAAAAGAAAGGUCCAGGCGCAAUAAGACAG